rnacentral:rRNA from 1 species
GCAAGUCGAACGGUAACAGAACUUACUUGCUAGUUGCUGACGAGUGGCGGACGGGUGAGUAAUGCUUAGGGAUCUGCCUUUAGGAGGGGGAUAACCAUUGGAAACGAUGGCUAAUACCGCAUAAUGUCUACGGACCAAAGGGGGCUUCGGCUCUCGCCUAGAGAGGAGCCUAAGUGAGAUUAGCUAGUUGGUGAGGUAAAGGCUCACCAAGGCGACGAUCUCUAGCUGGUCUGAGAGGAAGAUC